rnacentral:rRNA from 1 species
GAUGAACGUUGGCGGCGUGCCUAACACAUGCAAGUCGAACGCUAGUAGCAAUAUUAGAGUGGCGCACGGGUGAGUAACACGUAGCUUACCCACCUCCCAGCGCGGGAUAACGGUUCGAAAGAACUGCUAAUACCGCAUAAGCUCACGGCCUGUAGAGGGCUGCGAGAAAAGGCGCAAGUCACUGGGAGACGGGGCUGCGGCCCAUCAGCUCGUUGGUGAGGAACGGCUUACCAAGGCGACGAC